GAUGAACGCUGGCGGCGUGCCUAAUACAUGCAAGUCGAGCGAACGGACGAGAAGCUUGCUUCUCUGAUGUUAGCGGCGGACGGGGGAGUAACACGUGGGUAACCUACCUAUAAGACUGGGAUAACUUCGGGAAACCGGAGCUAAUACCGGAUAAUAUUUUGAACCGCAUGGUUCAAAAGUGAAAGACGGUCUUGCUGUCACUUAUAGAUGGAUCCGCGCUGCAUUAGCUAGUUGGUAAGGUAACGGCUUACCAAGGCAACGAUGCAUAGCCGACCUGAGAGGGUGAUCGGCCACACUGGAACUGAGACACGGUCCAGACUCCUACGGGAGGCAGCAGUAGGGAAUCUUCCGCAAUGGGCGAAAGCCUGACGGAGCAACGCCGCGUGAGUGAUGAAGGUCUUCGGAUCGUAAAACUCUGUUAUUAGGGAAGAACAUAUGUGUAAGUAACUGUGCACAUCUUGACGGUACCUAAUCAGAAAGCCACGGCUAACUACGUG
rnacentral:rRNA from 1 species